AGUGAACGCUGGCGGUAGGCCUAACACAUGCAAGUCGAACGGCAGCACAGGAGAGCUUGCUCUCUGGGUGGCGAGUGGCGGACGGGUGAGGAAUACAUCGGAAUCUACUCUGUCGUGGGGGAUAACGUAGGGACACUUACGCUAAUACCGCAUACGACCUACGGGUGAAAGCAGGGGAUCUUCGGACCUUGCGCGAUUGAAUGAGCCGAUGUCGGAUUAGCUAGUUGGCGGGGUAAAGGCCCACCAAGGCGACGAUCCGUAGCUGGUCUGAGAGGAUGAUCAGCCACACUGGAACUGAGACACGGUCCAGACUCCUACGGGAGGCAGCAGUGGGGAAUAUUGGACAAUGGGCGCAAGCCUGAUCCAGCCAUACCGCGUGGGUGAAGAAGGCCUUCGGGUUGUAAAGCCCUUUUGUUGGGAAAGAAAUCCAGCUGGCUAAUACCCGGUUGGGAUGACGGUACCCAAAGAAUAAGCACCGGCUAACCUCGUGCCAGCCGCCGCCGUAA
rnacentral:rRNA from 1 species